UUCACUUCAACCUUUUCUCUCACAGCCGCUUCUUCUCUUCUCUGUUAGGGUUUAUCAUCGCCGGCUUCUUAACACUUUUCGAUUUGAGACCCCCACAUACCACCCACAUAGGGGACUUUUAUCACGCACAGACCCUCGCAAUGCGUUGCCUGAGCCUCUCAUCUCUCACUGAGUCACGCGGCCCCUCACGCAGCCGGCAGCCCCUCUCUCACGUCUCUCUGUUUUCGAGUCCAACGGGUUUUGAUGUUAGGACCCCUCCCAGUUGAUGAACAACCUGUGUGUUGUAAUCGAGCAAAAGGCAAGGCAAAUACACAAUACAAAUGGAAAUGGAAAUGUAGGAAUGGCACAGAAGAUAUUUGAUAGAAAUUCUAAUAGAAACGUGAGUCACGCUGGGCUAGUUCGAGGCAGCCCUUCCUCCAAAUGAAAAUCCAUAAUUCGUCAUCUAAACCGGAAAAUCGGACCGAAUGGCUGAUGCUGCGGCUUGUAGGCGGUGGGGGCAAUUUGGAAAGCAGUUGGUUUGUAGGCAUAUUUCUGAGCACAUGAAAUCGAAUGGAAAUCAGUUGUUUCUCGUUGACACAUUAGCCAUAAUUGAAACGAUUCAAGAAUUCAAUUUGUCCAAAUUCAAGAGCUCAAAGAGAAGGCCAAGCUCUCCAAUUGAAGGCUACAAGCUUAAAUUCCCAUCUAACUAUUCAAAAAACUGCAAUACUUAGACUACGACUUAUUGAGAUUUUUGAUGUAAAACGGCUUCAAAUGCGCUAUGCAACUUCUUUGAUUGGGGGACCAUCCACGCUAGCUACUUCUAUAGCUGUAUAUACACUUUUUGGGCCAACCUUUCCUGGAAUUUAUGAUAAGAAAGAAGUGUUUACACUCUAUUUUACCAGGCCUGUCCUUUGCUUUUCGAAUUCCUAGCCAGUAUACAGAUUGCUGCCAUGAUAGGGAGGAAUUGCCAUUAGAGUUUCCGGAUGGUACCACACCAGUGACAUGUCAUGUCUCCAUAUAUGAUGGUUCUACGGAGAAUAAAGUUUGUGUAGGAUCCUUAAUGGACAAGGCUUCUGCUCCUUCAUUACCUGUUGGGAGCCUUUACAUGGAGGAGGUGAAUGUUAAGGAUGUCUGUCUGGACUGAAUUAGGUCGUCCUUGUGGAAUUCAUCAAAAGCAGCUUGAUCAUCGAACAAAGCCUUAUCCUGAGCAGUAGGCAAUGCGACCCGGACUUUUUUUUUAUGCAACCAGGACUUCCCAUUGUUUGAGUUAUAGUCGUACAUGCAAUGUAAUCAUAACGUCUCGUGUCUUUGACCCUAAAUUAUAGAUGAAUGGAUCGUAGCAUUUUGUAGGCUACCGUGUGCCACAUGUUUCAAAAUCAAAGUUUCAUUUUUUUUUUUUUUUUUGGUUUAUGAAUUUGUUUAGCAUAAAGCCUAUGAAGAAGUACCCAACUUAAUUUCA